UCACAUAAAAUUACUAAAAAAUAUGCAAAAAUUUCUUGUAUCAUUAAAAUUUUGGGAAAAAGUCAAAGGAAAUAAUUUUUUACGCUGUGAGGCUACCGUGAGAGCGAGAAAUAAUUUUUGGACUUGGACAAACAAUUUAUUUAUGCUCACAAUGCAAUGUAUUCACGGUACUCUCAUGACACACACACUUGUAACUUCAAACGUUUUUCAUUUUUAAACUUUCUUCUAUGCCAUCUUUUUAAAACGACACUUGCUGAGCUCCUCAGAGAUCGUGACGAGUCGGCUUAUCUCUCUCCCACAUGUAUCGGGUUGUCACAGCAGAAGCAUCUUGUGGGUGAUAAACAAAAACUGGUUUCAGCCUGAUGGACUAAGUGACGCAGAGAGAGAGAGAGAGAAGACAAAGACAGAAACAGAGUGGGAUAAGAAAGUUAUAUAAAUGCUGGAUCGUGGCCCAGAGCGAGGUCUACUCUUCCAGAGAUACUCAGUAACUAGUUCCUUAUUUAAACAACUCAUUACAACCAGUAUUUCCUCAAAGAUAAAUCACGAAACAGACAAAGCACAAAUCAUUCGAACAAAACAAAUAAGUACAUUUGAUGUUACACCACACAAACUGUAUGUACACCCCUACAUGGCUGCACAUGAAAGGACUCCCUGAUAAUGAUGCAUAGACACAGAGGAGACCGACUAGCUGUCCUGCCAAACAGACAGCAUAGUGAUAACAUGACAAAUGUCAUUGGCAGGCACGAACCACUCCAUCCACUCCUGCUGGCGAGGCACAAUCCUGCAUUCACACUCUCUGUUGAAGCCGGAGCGGUCAGAGUGACAGCCUGCUUCGUGUACGUCAACGGGCCAAGGCAGAUCAUUCCAUCGCAACACACAGAUAUCCUCUUAUAUUCUGCCUGACUACUGGAAACGCUGCAUGGAUAUUGUGAAAUAUCUCGUCAUCUGAUCUGGAGUUGGUUUUCCUGACCUGAGUUUCUCACUGCCAUCACCAAGAUGGGCUGUGUGGUGUUGGGUACAUUGCCUAAACAUAUGCAAACUCAUCCCGUCGCUCCGAUCUAUUGUCAGCCUGUUUACUUCAACUCUCUUGGAGCCACUCUGUUCUCUCUCUGCACAUUAUUAAAGUUCUGCAUAUAUGAACGAUGCUUCUGCUCCUUCUGGGUCAAAGCUGUUUUUACUCUGAGGUGUUUUUUUUCCAGGAAGGCUGUCAGGAGCGUGGGGAAUGUCUUGAGAGAAAAAGUGCCAUGUGUGCAAUACGCUGGUUUACAAAGUUUUACGAGGAGAGAGUAACUUCUGUCGUCAAGAAAUCUAUAAGCAGCUUCUACAAUUAUAGUAAGGCACAUAUUCUGUGAAAAAAAAAAAUCAAGCUCCUCUGCCUCUUCCCUGUGGCUCUACUGCCAUCUGCAGAAAUACCCCUGUUUCCUAUACCCACAGUGGAGCCUGCACUGGAUGUGCAAGCAAGUUUGCAUGACAGAUUAACACUUUUCCUGCUAUUUUUAUUUAUUUAUUUUUUACAAUUUUCUGCCAUUAGCGCAUUGAGCAGCGCGUACAUGACCAUGAUUGACAGAGUUCAGACCUUCCUCCUGAAUCUGAUUGGCUGUUUCUGACUGAGUGCAUUUCUGCAGAUGGAAGCACAGGAAUAGGACCACAGGGAGACACAAGAGAAGCUUUGGUAACACUUUAUUUGAAGGGUGUGUAAACGUCUGACAUCUGUCACAAUCAUGGAGCAUUUAUGAAUGUUUGACUGUUGUCAUGGAGUGUCAUUUGGUAAAUAAUGACAUUUUUAAAGCAUAGUUGCAUUAAAAGUUGCAUUAAAAGAGCACUAAAGGUGAAAACUUUGCAUUAUUCUGUAAAUAAUGACACUUUUAAAGCAAGGUUGCAUUAAAAGUUGCAUUAAGUGUUAUUAUUUACCAAAUGACACUUCAUUACGGCAGUCAUAAACGUUUACGAAGACCGCUUCAUGUUCAUGACAGGUGUUACGUCAUGUUUAUGACAGUGUCAUGUCAGUUUUAUGCACACCACUUUAACUCACGUUACCAAAGCUGCUUUUUUGCACAGAUUAUCUGUCUCAUACCAUGCUGCCACAACAUAGUGACAAUUUUAACAAACGUGUAAAAGCAUAUUUUUAUAAAAGUUGCCCACUGCCGAUUAAGAUUUUGGUCAAUUUCGACAAUAUACUUCUUUAAAAUUCAGUGCAUUUUAUUGGGGUUGUAUUUGCCCCAGAUGUUUGGCAGAGAACACUAGUGAACAAACAACUUCAUAAAUAUCAGGGAGCUCAUCAGAUGAUUCAUGUCCCUGUCAUAAAUCAAAGAGAUAAAGAUGUGGAGAGAUUUGUUGUUAUGGGUGACAAAGCAAUAUUACUAGCAAGCGAUACAACACAACUGCAAACUUAUCAACACCUAGCUGUGUAGUUACUGUACACUUUGACAUGACACACAUGUGGAAGAAGGUGGUAUAUAUAUGAGAAAAAGAUUUCAUAACCACCCAGAAGCACGUUGGUGCCAGCAUCACACGGAUGAGAUGGGAGAUGGAUUUGCAGAAUAUUAAGAAAUCUCCUCUCUUUUCUUUUACUUUACAUUGUGCACACUACCGAGUGUUUGACUAUCAAAUAAAAUCCCAGCACAGUACAGUGAAGUUUGUGACCGCAAGAAAAAAUAAAAACAGACUUCAGGUAAAUAGUUUUGCGAAACAACAAGGGG